rnacentral:rRNA from 1 species
GAUGAACGCUAGCUACAGGCUUAACACAUGCAAGUCGAGGGGAAACGACAUCGAAAGCUUGCUUUUGAUGGGCGUCGACCGGCGCACGGGUGAGUAACGCGUAUCCAACCUGCCCACCACUUGGGGAUAACCUUGCGAAAGUAAGACUAAUACCCAAUGACGUCUCUAGAAGACAUCUGAAGGAGAUUAAAGAUUUAUCGGCGAUGGAUGGGGAUGCGUCUGAUUAGCUUGUUGGCGGGGUAACGGCCCACCAAGGCGACGAUCAGUAGGGGUUCUGAGAGGAAGGUCCGCCAAAUUGGAACUGAGACACGGUCCAAACUCCUACGGGAGGCAGCAGUGAGGAAUAUUGGUCAAUGGGCGAGAGCCUGAACCAGCCAAGUAGCGUGCAGGAUGACGGCCCUAUGGGUUGUAAACUGCUUUUAUAAGGGAAUAAAGUGAGUCUCGUGAGACUUUUUGCAUGUACCUUAUGAAUAAGGACCGGCUAAUUCCGUGCCAGCCGCCGCCGUAA